UCCUGGUUAACCCAGGCAGUCUCAUUAGAGUUCCCAUCCGAAAUGUUGGCAACUAAUGAUAAGGGUUGCGCUCGUUGCUGGACUUAACCAAACACCUCACGGCACGAGCUGACGACAGCCAUGCAGCACCUGUGCAGCGGUCCCGAAGGAAGGAUCCAUUUCUGGACCUGUCCACUGCAUGUCAAGUCUGGGUAAGGUUCUUCGCGUUGCAUCGAAUUAAACCACAUGCACCACUGCUUGUGCGGGUCCCCGUCAAUUCUUUUGAGUUUCACCCUUGCGAGCGUACUCCCCAGGCGGUAUACUUAACACGUUAGCUACGGCACAGCUAGGGUUGAGCCCAGCUACACCAAGUAUACAUCGUUUACGGCAAGGACUAC
rnacentral:misc_RNA from 1 species